rnacentral:snoRNA from 2 species
CCCCUCUCAGGGUCACACCUGGAGAGUUUCCAGUACUCUAUCAGUCUCGACUAGGGGAGGGAGAGUCAAGCAGAAGGAUAUCUAUUCCAAUCGUAGCUUGGGCAGUGGCUAGCGAGUGGAAGGCAAUCUGCUACAAGU